rnacentral:rRNA from 1 species
GUCCUUAGUUACCAGCACGUUAUGGUGGGCACUCUAAGGAGACUGCCGGUGACAAACCGGAGGAAGGUGGGGAGUGACGUCAAGUCAUCAUGGCCCUUACGGCCUGGGCUACACACGUGCUACAAUGGUCGGUACAAAGGGUUGCCAAGCCGCGAGGUGGAGCUAAUUCCAUAAAACCGAUCGUAGUCCGGAUCGCAGUCUGCAACUCGACUGCGUGAAGUCGGAAUCGCUAGUAAUCGUGAAUCAGAAUGUCACGGUGAAUACGUUCCCGGGCCUU